ACAGCCCCACAACACAUUUUAACCUAGUACGAGAGAAGCCGUUGAUUUACACAAUUGGUCAUUGCUCUUGCCUGAAAAGCCAGUGACGCUAAGCUACAGUGUGCUGGAUUAUGACUGGACGCCUCUAAGCCAGAAUCCAAGCUAGCAUGUGACACCUACGUCUACGCCUACGCUCGCCACCCACCCCGGCCCAUGUUAGGGGUGCAUGCGCCCUAAGGGCACGUGCCAUUGGCUAAGCCAGUCCAGCCGCGCCAUGGUCGGACGCCUUGAAUCUCUUCCCAACGGGGUGGGUUGAAUCCUUUGCAGAUGACUUAAAUACGUGAUAGGGCAUUGUAAGUGAUAGAGUGGCCUUUCUGCCAUGAUCCAGUGAGAUCUUGCCCCAUGCCACGCGGAUUU
rnacentral:rRNA from 1 species